rnacentral:rRNA from 1 species
UACGAAGGUGGCUAGCGUUGUUCGGAAUUACUGGGCGUAAAGCGCACGUAGGCGGACAUUUAAGUCAGGGGUGAAAUCCCGGAGCUCAACUCCGGAACUGCCUUUGAUACUGGGUGUCUUGAGUGUGGAAGAGGUGAGUGGAAUUCCGAGUGUAGAGGUGAAAUUCGUAGAUAUUCGGAGGAACACCAGUGGCGAAGGCGGCUCACUGGUCCAUUACUGACGCUGAGGUGCGAAAGCGUGGGGAGCAAACAGG